GAUGAUCCGAUGAGUUUUCCUGAUCAACACUCCCAACCCCGAAAUUGUCCCUGUAGAUAUCCUUGUGCACCAGGUGACCCUCCCCAAUGCUAUACCCCAGAGUCAUAUACCACUUUUUUGGUACCCAGUUCCACAAAAUGCUUAUCUACCCUCACGAACCUACCAGAAACCCCCUAGAUCAGGUUUUUGGCCAAAUCACGAAUUUAGGAAUGAGAGGUUGCUAAAAAAA
rnacentral:lncRNA from 1 species